rnacentral:misc_RNA from 1 species
ACCUGUUUUUAAGGGGAGUAACGAAUAGGAGACUAUCGGUGUGUCGUCACUACGGAGAAAUCCCGGUGCGCCGAGCAAUAUAAUAUAUUGUAUCGUGAGACCUUAACAGACAGU